GAUGAACGCUAGCCACAGGCUUAACACAUGCAAGUCGAGGGGUAACGAGAGGAAAGCUUGCUUUCCUUGUCGACGACCGGCGCACGGGUGAGUAACGCGUAUCCAACCUGCCCCCAACUAGGGAAUAACCUUGCGAAAGUAAGACUAAUACCCUAUAAUUUCCUCAGAUGUCAUCUGACGAGGAAUAAAGAUUUAUCGGUUGUGGAUGGGGAUGCGUCUGAUUAGCUUGUUGGCGGGGUAACGGCCCACCAAGGCAACGAUCAGUAGGGGUUCUGAGAGGAAGGUCCCCCACAUUGGAACUGAGACACGGUCCAAACUCCUACGGGAGGCAGCAGUGAGGAGUAUUGGUCAAUGGGCGGAAGCCUGAACCAGCCAAGUAGCGUGCAGGAUGACGGCCCUAUGGGUUGUAAACUGCUUUUAUACAGGAAUAAAGUUAGCCACGUGUGGUUAUUUGUAGGUACUGUAUGAAUAAGGACCGGCUAAUUCCGUGCCAGCAGCCGCCGUAACAC
rnacentral:rRNA from 1 species